rnacentral:rRNA from 1 species
GACGAACGCUGGCGGCGUGCUUAACACAUGCCAGUCGAACGGUGAAGCGCCUUCCUUUUUGGUGGGUGUGGAUGAGUGGCGAACGGGUGAGUAACACGUGAGUAACCUGCCCCCUUCUUCUGGAUAACCGCAUGAAAGUGUGGCUAAUACGGGAUAUUCUGGGUCUGUCGCAUGAUGGGUCUGGGAAAGAUAUUGUUUCGGUGGGGGAUGGGCUCGCGGCCUAUCAGCUUGUUGGUGGGGUGAUGGCCUACCAAGGCGGUGACGGGUAGCCGGCCUGAGAGGGUGGACGGUCACACUGGGACUGAGACACGGCCCAGACUCCUACGGGAGGCAGCAGUGGGGAAUAUUGCACAAUGGGCGCAAGCCUGAUGCAGCGACGCCGCGUGAGGGAUGGAGGCCUUCGGGUUGUGAACCUCUUUCGCCAGUGAAGCAGGCCUGCCUCGUUUGUGGGUGGGUUGACGGUGGCUGGAUAAGAAGCGCCGGCUAACUACGUG